GACGAACGCUGGCGGCGUGCUUAACACAUGCAAGUCGAACGAUGAAGCCGGAGCUUGCUCUGGUGAAUUAGUGGCGAACGGGUGAGUAACACGUGAGUAACCUGCCCUUGACUCUGGGAUAACUGCGGUAAACUGUAGCUAAUACCGGAUACGACCCUCGGAGGCAUCUCCUGGGGGUGGAAAGAAUUUCGGUCAAGGAUGGACUCGCGGCCUAUCAGCUAGUUGGUGAGGUAAAGGCUCACCAAGGCGACGACGGGUAGCCGGCCUGAGAGGGUGACCGGCCACACUGAGACUGAGACACGGCCCAGACUCCUACGGGAGGCAGCAGUGGGGAAUAUUGCACAAUGGGCGCAAGCCUGAUGCAGCAACGCCGCGUGAGGGAUGACGGCCUUCGGGUUGUAAACCUCUUUUAGCAGGGAAGAAGCGAAAGUGACGGUACCUGCAGAAAAAGCACCGGCUAACUACGUGCCAGCCGCCGCUGUAA
rnacentral:rRNA from 1 species